UAAUUUCAAUGGUUCGAAACUACAAAAUGUUAAAAAGCUGAAACACCAAUUCAAGGAUCGUAUGCCCCUAGAAAUCAGUUAGGGUUUCAGAUUUUCGUAUAAUUUUGAAGGUUUGAUUGUGUAAGACUGACAGUACCGUUCAGCCCUGGGGAACGAUAAUUGUGAAUAUUGGGGAUUGUAAUUGCGCCGAUUGGAUUCGGUUCAUUUUCCUAAUGGAGGUUGAUUCUUCGCCGGCGCCGGAGACGAUGAUGGCAACUCCGCAGGAAUUUAUUCUUCAGAGGCUUGAGAAUCUUGGAGUUCCUGCAGAAAAUUUAGAGCACCGACAGCCUGGUUUAAUUGUUUAUGUGAAGAAUAACAAGUCUCAAAUUGAAGAGCUUGUCUCUGCUCUUUUGCCUACUAAUGAAGAGGCAAUGGACAGUAUUAUAGAUAUGCAGAUGGAUUCUCCAAAAUCAACAGGCAGCUCAGCCAUUAAAGAUUUAUUUCACGAAAGUAUGACGUGGUUACAAUGGUUGAUGUUUGAAGGGGAACCAAGAAGAGCACUAGAUCACCUAGCUAACAUUGGCCAGCGUGGUGUUUGUGGGGCUAUUUGGGGGAACAAUGAUAUAGCAUACCGUUGCCGUACAUGUGAGCAUGAUCCAACAUGUGCAAUAUGUGUUCCAUGUUUCCAGAAUGGAAACCACAAGGACCAUGAUUACUCAGUCAUGUAUACAGGCGGUGGCUGCUGUGAUUGUGGAGAUGUAACUGCAUGGAAACGUGAGGGAUUUUGUUCCAAGCAUAAAGGCGCGGAGCAGAUACAACCUCUUCCGGAAGAGUGUGCUAAUUCUUUAGGCCCUGUUCUUGAUUCCUUGCUGUCUUGUUGGAGAAAAGGGCUCCUAUUUGCGGAAAGCAUCUCGGAGCAAAGUUCAAGACUAAAUAGUCAGGCAACUGAGUAUAAAGGUAUCACAGAUGCGUUGACAUCAGCAGUGGUAGAGAUGCUCUUGGGUUUCUGCAAGGAUAGUGAAAGUUUGCUUAGUUUUAUCUCUAGGAGGGUAUUCUCUCCAGAAGGUUUAUUAGAUGUUCUGGUGAGGGCAGAGAGGUUCUUGAUCAGUGGUUAUAUUGUCAGGAAGCUCCAUGAAUUGCUCUUGAAAAUGUUGGGUGAACCUCAAUUCAAAUAUGAGUUUGCCAAAGUAUUUCUGAGCUAUUACUCCACUGUUGUGAAUGACGCAGUCAAGGAAAAUAAUGAUACAGUCUUCCAAAAAUAUCCACUUCUCUCAACUUUUUCUGUGCAGAUAUUUACGGUGCCUACUUUGACCCCACGUCUUGUGAAGGAAAUGAAUCUUUUAGCCAUGCUGCUGGACUGUUUAGGGGACAUAUUUAUAUCUUGUGCAGAUGAAAAUGGUAGAUUGAAGGUCAAUAAAUGGGGAAAUUUGUAUGAAACUACUCUUCGUGUGGUUGAAGACAUACGAUUUGUCAUGAGUCAUUCUGCUGUACCCAGAUAUGUGGCUUGUGAUAGGCGAGAUAUACUUAGGACGUGGAUGAAGCUGUUGACUUUUGUACAAGGAAUGAACCCUCAAAAGAGAGAAACUGGCAUCCAUGUAGAAGAUGAGGGUGAAAAUAUGCAUUUGCCUUUUGUUCUGGGUCAUACAAUUGCAAAUAUUCAUUCUCUAUUGGUGGGUGGUGCAUUCUCUAUUAGUAGCAAUGAAGAUGCUGAUGAUGCUUUGUUCAACACGCAUAUACAAGAUUUUGAAGACCAAGAUAGUCAAAGACUUGCAAAAGUUGGAAGGCUAUCACAGGAAAGUUCUGUUAGUAGCGUGGCUGGAAGGAGUCCACCAGAACAUGCAUCGAGGACUCCUGAAUCAAAAUCUGAUGGUUCUCCGGUACCGUCAUCUGUUCUAUGGUUGACAUUUGAGUGCCUCAAGGCCAUUGAGAAUUGGUUGGGAGUGGAUAACACAUCAGGACCUCUCCUUCACAUCUUAUCUUCGAAAACAAUCACCAGUUCUGGAAAUAAUUUCUUUGCACUGAAAAGAACACUUUCGAAGUUUAGCAGGGGCAGGCAUAUCAUUAGAUCUCAUAGUCCUUCAGAUGGCAUUGGACUCCCAAGUUCAACUGAAGGUUGCAAUAAGCGAUAUUCUUAUUCGUCACCGACUGGUGGUGUUGCCUUAAAUUCUGGACAGGAUUUGGCCCAGGAAACUGCAAGCUUUGGUGGUAGUGAUAACAAUAUGCUACAAAUAGAUUAUGCCCUAGAGUUGGAAGCUCUUCGGGUGCUGAGUUUGUCUGAUUGGCCUGAUAUAGCAUAUAAAGUCAGUUUGCAGGAUACAUCAGUUCAUAUUCCACUCCAUCGAUUACUUUCAAUGGUUUUACAGAGGGCACUGAGACAAUGUUAUGGUGAAACUGCCCUUCGGGGUAGUUGUUCCAAUUCGUCAUCUGCUGUCGAUCAUGACUUUUUUGGCCAUAUAUUGGGAGGCUGCCACCCACUUGGCUUUUCUGCCUUCAUUAUGGAACAUGCUCUCCGAAUUAAGGUGUUCUGUGCGCAGGUGCAUGCUGGAAUGUGGCGUAGGAAUGUUGAUGCUGCCAUAUUAUCCUGUGAGUGGUAUCGCUCUGUUCGUUGGUCUGAGCAAGGUCUAGAGCUUGAUCUAUUUCUGCUCCAGUGUUGUGCUGCACUAGGCCCUGCUGAUCAAUAUGUUACUAGGAUUUUAGAACGCUUCGAGCUCUCAGAUUACCUAUCCUUGGAUCUCGAACGCUCUAAUGAGUAUGAGCCGACUAUAGUUCAGGAGAUGCUUACACUGAUCAUACAAAUAGUGAAGGAACGGCGGUUUUCUGGGUUAUCCCCCAGUGAGUGUUUGGAAAGGGAGUUGGUAUAUAAACUGUCAACUGGUGAUGCCACUCGUAGCCAGUUGGUGAAGUCUCUGCCCCGUGACUUGUCCAAGAUCGAUAGACUUCAGGAAGUUCUAGAUAGGGUAGCAGUGUAUUCCAAUCCCUCUGGCAUCAAUCAGGGUAUGUAUAAACUGCGGACACCCUAUUGGAAGGAGCUAGAUUUAUAUCAUCCUCGUUGGAACUCAAAGGAGUUGCAAGUUGCUGAAGAGAGAUAUAUGCAGUUCUGUAAUGUAUCGGCAUUGACCAGUCAGCUUCCAAAAUGGACGAAGAUUUAUCCACCUCUUGGUGGAAUAGCUAAAAUAGCUACUUGCAAGACAGUACUCCAAAUUGUUCGUGCUAUUGUAUUUUAUGCUGUUUUCUCUGAUAAAUCAAAUGCUUCACGUGCUCCAGAUGGUGUAUUGUUAACAGCAUUGCAUUUGUUAUCUCUUGCAUUAGAUAUUUGUUAUAUGCAUAGAGGAUCUGGUGACCAUAGUUGCUUUGGGGACGAUGACAUUCCAAUUGUAGCACUAGCUAAUGAGGAAUUGUCAUUGAGUAAAUAUGGUGAUCAGAGCUUGUUGUCUCUUCUGGUUUUGUUGAUGAGGAAAUAUAGGAAAGAAAACGACUUUGUGGAAGCUGGAAUUUUCAACCUCUCCUCUAUGAUUGGAAGUCUUCUGAAAAAAUUUGCUGAACUUCAAUCUGGAUGCAAGAUGAAACUGCAAGACCUUGCACCUGAGGUGGUCAAUCAACUGUCGCAAUCCGUUUUGACUGGUGAUACUAAAAACUUGGAAUCAGUUUCAGACAGUGAUAAGCGCAAGGCUAAAGCUCGAGAGAGGCAAGCUGCUAUAAUGGAGAAGAUGAGGGCACAACAAUCCAAGUUUUUAAAGAGCAUUGAUUUCUCUGCAGAAGCUGCUCCGGAUGAUUCUAAACUUGGUAAAGAAAGAAGUGAUUCAGAUGUUAGACGUAAUUAUGAAGAGGCUACUCAAGUCAUUUGCUCUCUUUGCCAUGAUCCAAAUUCUAAAAGUCCUCUAUCAUACCUGAUUCUUCUUGAGAAAUCCAGGCUUUUAACUUUCACCAAUAGAGGGCCUCCUUCAUGGAAAAGAACUCAAAAUUCUGGGAAAGAACCUGAAUCUUCUGCUCAAAGAAUGACAAAUGUCUCAUCUCAAAGGAGCAUUUUAUCAAGCAGUCAAGAAGUGAUUUCAUCUCCUUGGUUGACACAAUUGAUUCAAAAUGCAAUAAAUGAAUUUUCUCUGGAAGGGCAACCUAAGGAUGUAGGAGCAUUUUUUGAAUAUAUUAGGGCAAGAUUCCCAGCAUUGAAGAUUCAAUUGCCUUGCACAUCCAGCAAUGUCAAUGAAGAGACAGAUUUUUCUCUAGAGAUGCUAGAAGAACAAAUAUACUUGUUGAUUCGGGAAAGAAUGGAUGUCAAUUCGUGGCACUGGGAUCUCUCAAGAAAUGGUAAGAAAAUUUCUGCAGGGGGAGGUGGUGGGAAUGUUGAGUCACUUUUGCUUGGGAAGUACAUUUCUUCUCUUGCAGGAGAAAAUCUCGAUAGUCCUGCAUCUGAAAGUGCACACAAGACGCAAUUAGAGUCAAGAAUGCCGCUUACAGCGUAUGAAGGAUUUGGUCCCUCAGAUUGUGACAGAAUUUAUCUUUCAUCGUGUGGACACGCUGUGCAUCAGGGAUGUCUUGACCGUUAUUUAUCAUCUCUAAAGGAAAGAUAUACCAGAAGAAUUGUUUUUGAAGGAGGUCAUAUUGUAGAUCCAGAUCAGGGGGAGUUCCUCUGUCCUGUAUGCCGUGGACUUGCCAACUCGGUCCUGCCAACCUUACCUGUAGAUUCUGGAAGGUUCACAUCCCUUCAUUCAUCUUCCAGUCCAUCAGAUGCUGUUGGCCCUUCAUCCUCGUCAAGUGGAGUGGUAGAUGCACUUCAUUUUCAAAAAGCUUUAUUUCUCCUACAAAGUGCUGCUGAUGUUUCUGGAAGUAGAGAAAUUUUCCAAAGACUUCCACUUCGGCAGUUUGGGCGGAUGAGGGUAAACCUUGAAUCUUCGUAUCGUGUAUUGUGUGGAAUGUACUUUCCAGACAAUGAUAAGAUUUCUGAAUCUGGUAGACUUAGUCAUUCUCUGAUUCUGUAUGACACUCUUAAGUACUCACUUAUAUCAACUGAAAUUGCUACUCGAUCUGGAAAGACAUCAUUAGCUCCAAACUACAGUCUUGGUGCCUUGUACAAAGAACUCCAAUCUUCAAAUGGUUUUAUACUUGCUUUGUUGCUAAGUAUUGUACAAAGCACACGAACAAAUAACUCACUCACUGUCCUCUUGAGACUGAGAGGUAUUCAGCUGUUUGCAGAGUCUAUAUGUACUGGCACUUCUGCAAAUGAAAUUUCAGAUCCAUCUGUUGGAGGUAAUAUGCAAGACAUCUUGGAAUGUGCUGAAACAGAAGAUCAGUAUCCUGAUAUUCAGUUCUGGAGAUGGUCAGCUGAUCCAGUUCUUGCACAUGAUGCUUUUUCUUCGUUAAUGUGGAUAAUAUAUUGCCUUCCAUGUCCAGUGUUGUCAUGCAAAGAUGCCUUCCUGUCUCUGGUUCGUCUUUUCUAUGCUGUUACGGUCACUCAGGCUAUAAUUACCUAUUGCAGAAAGCGUCAAUGCAGGUUGCUUGAGUUAGGAUGCGAUGAUUCUUUAGUUACUGACAUCUAUAAAGUAAUUGAAGAACAAGGAGUUGCUCACCAAUAUUUUGAAUCUAAUUUUAUAGAAACUUCUUAUGACAUCAAAGAUGCAAUUCGCAGUCUGACCUUUCCGUACUUAAGAAGAUGUGCAUUGUUGUGGAAACUGAUUAAUUCUUCUAGAGUGGUGCCAUUUAAUGAUGGAACCAACAUAUUAGAUGGAUCAGCAUACUCAACCAAUGAACUGAUGGAGUGUGGCGAAAACAAUGCAGCCGAGCUCAUUCAGAUUGAAAAGUUGGAGAAGAUAUUAAAUAUUCCAUCGCUUGAUAAUGUUUUAAAUGAUGUCACAAUUCGUUUGGUGGUUCAAAAAUGGCUCAAUCAUUUCUACAAGCACUUUGAAACUCGUGGUCUAAAGGGUGCUCUUUAUUCCACUCCUGCAGCCCCUUUUAAACUGAUGCUUUUGCCUCAUCUUUAUCAGGACCUCUUGCAGAGGUAUAUUAAACAGAAUUGCCCAGACUGCGGAGCUGUUCAGAAGGAUCCUGCUUUGUGCUUGUUAUGUGGUAAAUUGUGCUCAGCAAGUUGGAAGACAUGCUGCAGGGAAAGUGGGUGUCAAACUCAUGCAAUGGCCUGUGGUGCUGUUACUGGGGUGUUCUUGUUGAUCAGAAAAACCACUGUAUUGCUCCAAAGAUCUGCUCGUCAGGCACCGUGGCCGUCACCUUAUUUGGAUGUAUUUGGAGAAGAGGAUAUUGACAUGCAUAGGGGAAAACCAUUGUAUCUAAAUGAGGAACGUUAUGCUGCCUUAACUCAUAUGGUGGCUUCUCAUGGGUUAGAUCGAAGUUCAAAGGUGCUUCGUCAGACAACUAUUGGUGCAUUCUUCAUGCUUUAGCUUGGCAUUUUAUGAUGGUGUAGUUCUCUUGACAACUGCAGGUAUAUCUGACUCAAAUAUGUUAAAGAUGAUAAUAGUUGUGCUCUUACGCCCUAGGAUACAGGAAGUCCUCUUUUAAUGUGUUCUCGUGAUGUUCAUGUACAGGUUAUUGAGACGGUUAGGAUUUGCUCACCGGAAUAGAAUGCGUGUAUUCCAUGAGUGACUCAGCAGUGAAGGUGGAAUGGCUGGUUGUUGCCACCUCUUUGUACAGAAAAUGUGAAUAAAUAUGGUGCUUCAUGUGUGAUAUGAUAAUUGCAAAGGUCUCCUUCAAGUGUAUGGAUUGUCAUUUUACACAACAAUAUGGCCCCUCCCCCCUUUGGCUUCUGUUCUUGAUGUCAAUGAUGAUUGAUGUAUCAUCGAG